rnacentral:rRNA from 1 species
AGUGAACGCUGGCGGUAGGCCUAACACAUGCCAGUCGAACGGCAGCACAGUAAGAGCUUGCUCUUACGGGUGGCGAGUGGCGGACGGGUGAGGAAUACAUCGGAAUCUACUUUUUCGUGGGGGAUAACGUAGGGAAACUUACGCUAAUACCGCAUACGACCUACGCGUGAAAGCAGGGGAUCUUCGGACCUUGCGCGAUUGAAUGAGCCGAUGUCGGAUUAGCUAGUUGGCGGGGUAAAGGCCCACCAAGGCGACGAUCCGUAGCUGGUCUGAGAGGAUGAUCAGCCAUACUGGAACUGAGACACGGUCCAGACUCCGACGGGAGGCAGCAGGGGGGAAUAGUGGACAAGGGGCGCAAGCCUGACCCAGCCAUACCGGGGGGGUGAAGAAGGCCUUCGGGUUGUAAAGCCCUUUUGUUGGGAAAAAAAAGCAGCAGGUUAAUACCCCGCUGUUCGGGCGGGCCCCAAAGAAUAAGCACCGGCUAACUUCGG